GACGAACCGUGCGAACGUUAUUCGGAAUCACUGGGCUUAAAGCGCGUGUAGGCGGGACGACACGUCGAUCGUUGAAAUCCCUCGGCUCAACCGAGGAAGCGGCGCCGAUACGAUCGUCCUGGAGGGGCGUAGGGGGACCUGGAACUUCCGGUGGAGCGGUGAAAUGCGUUGAGAUCGGAAGGAACGCCCGUGGCGAAAGCGAGGUCCUGGACGCCUACUGACGCUGAGACGCGAAAGCCAGGGGA
rnacentral:rRNA from 1 species